rnacentral:snRNA from 1 species
GUGCUCGCUUCGGCAGCACAUAUACUAAAAAUUGGAACAAUAGAGUAGAUUAGAGUAGAUUAGCAUGGCCCUGUGCAAGGAUGACAUGCAAAUUCGUGAAGCAUUCCAUAUUUUU